rnacentral:rRNA from 1 species
CUACGGGAGGCAGCAGUUAGGAAUCUUGCGCAAUGGGCGAAAGCCUGACGCAGCGAUGCCGCGUGCGGGAUGAAGGCCCUCGGGUCGUAAACCGCUUUCAGCAGGGACGAUUGUGACGGUACCUGCAGAAGAAGCCCCGGCCAACUACGUGCCAGCAGCCGCGGUAAUACGUAGGGGGCAAGCGUUGUCCGGAUUUAUUGGGCGUAAAGAGCUCGUAGGCGGUUUGGUAAGUCGGGUGUGAAAUCUCCACGCUCAACGUGGAGGGGCCACUCGAUACUGCCAUGACUCGAGUCCGGUAGAGGAGUGUGGAAUUCCCGGUGUAGCGGUGAAAUGCGCAGAUAUCGGGAGGAACACCUGUAGCGAAGGCGGCACUCUGGGCCGGAACUGACGCUGAGGAGCGAAAGCGUGGGGAGCAAACAGGAUUAGAUACCCCCGUAGUC